GAUGAAGAACGCAGCUAAAUGCGAUAAGUAAUGUGAAUUGCAGAAUUCAGUGAAUCAUCGAAUCUUUGAACGCACAUUGCGCCCGCUAGUAUUCUGGCGGGCAUGCCUGUCCGAGCGUCAUUUCAACCCUCAAGCCCCCGGGCUUGGUGUUGGGGAUCGGCGAGCCUCCGCGCCCGCCGUCCCCUAAAUCUAGUGGCGGUCUCGCUGUAGCUUCCUCUGCGUAGUAGCACACCUCGCACUGGGAAACAGCGCGGCCACGCCGUUAAACCCCCAACUUCUGAACGUUUGACCUCGGAUCAGGUAGGAAUACCCGCUGAACUUAAGCAUAUCAAUAAGCGGAGGA
rnacentral:misc_RNA from 1 species